UACUUUUGGGUUUUGUCUUUAUCUGGGUGUUUUUCUUUUCUUUUUUCCAAUUUCGUGUUUCAGUUACAGGGAUUUCAAUUUAGUUUUCGUGUAAUAUACUUUUUCGUGAGUUAAUCCAAAGCUGUAUUUGAGAUCAAUUAAGCAAUCUCAAGCAUUAUUAUUGAAAGCUAGGAGAUUUGAUUAGCAGAUUUGGGAUGCAGUGUGACUUUUUGGCUUUUAUCACAAUCAGGACGUUCAUGUAAAUUCUAAUUUCUUGCUUCCACUGCAGAUUAUUUAUGUAAAUUAAGGACUACCAAUGAAGAAGUGUAAGGCUGUCUUUGAAGUUCAGACAUUUUCUGUCGAUAUUUCCACUUUGAAUUUCUGCAAAAGCUUCUGCCAUGGUCCGUGUUUAACUCUGUCUCUUUAUCCUAACACAUGAACGCGUCGUGACAGAGUUGAACAAGCUUCUCCUUCUCUUGAAUUUCUGGUGUAUGCAGUAUCUCGAGAUUGUUGUGACAAAAUGUUGAACAAGCGUCUCCUUGUAUAUAGUAUCUUGAGAUUGAUCUGAUCCCCCAGCUACUUACAUAUAUGAUGAUUUUAGUGAUGAUUUGUUCAAAUUUUAAUGUUAUUUUAGUCAAAGAAGUAGAAAGUAUCCAGUGAUGGCUUGUGAAAGGAAACUUAUACAGUAAUGUACUUGUCGAUAACUUUCUGAUGCUUUUGGUUUUAAAAAAAUUCUGCUAAUUAACUCUAAAUUCCUUUAUAUAAGGCUCGAGUUAAGAGA